GGGUUGUGAGGUUAAGCGACUAAGCGUACACGGUGGAUGCCCUGGCAGUCAGAGGCGAUGAAGGACGUGCUAAUCUGCGAAAAGCGUCGGUAAGGUGAUAUGAACCGUUAUAACCGGCGAUGUCCGAAUGGGGAAACCCAGUGCAAUUCGUUGCACUAUCGUUAACUGAAUACAUAGGUUAACGAGGCGAACCGGGGGAACUGAAACAUCUAAGUACCCCGAGGAAAAGAAAUCAACCGAGAUUCCCCCAGUAGCGGCGAGCGAACGGGGAGCAGCCCAGAGUCUGAAUCAGCUUGUGUGUUAGUGGAACGGUCUGGAAAGUCCGACGGUACAGGGUGAUAGUCCCGUACACCAAAAUGCACAGGUUGUGAACUCGAAGAGUAGGGCGGGACACGUGGUAUCCUGUCUGAAUAUGGGGGGACCAUCCUCCAAGGCUAAAUACUCCUGACUGACCGAUAGUGAACCAGUACCGUGAGGGAAAGGCGAAAAGAACCCCGGCGAGGGGAGUGAAAAAGAACCUGAAACCGUGUACGUACAAGCAGUGGGAGCACCCUUUAGGGUGUGACUGCGUACCUUUUGUAUAAUGGGUCAGCGACUUAUAUUCUGUAGCAAGGUUAACCGUAUAGGGGAGCCGCAGGGAAACCGAGUCUUAACUGGGCGUUAAGUUGCAGGGUAUAGACCCGAAACCCGGUGAUCUAGCCAUGGGCAGGUUGAAGGUUGGGUAACACUAACUGGAGGACCGAACCGACUAAUGUUGAAAAAUUAGCGGAUGACUUGUGGCUGGGGGUGAAAGGCCAAUCAAACCGGGAGAUAGCUGGUUCUCCCCGAAAGCUAUUUAGGUAGCGCCUCGUGAACUCAUCUUCGGGGGUAGAGCACUGUUUCGGCUAGGGGGUCAUCCCGACUUACCAACCCGAUGCAAACUACGAAUACCGAAGAAUGUUAUCACGGGAGACACACGGCGGGUGCUAACGUCCGUCGUGAAGAGGGAAACAACCCAGACCGCCAGCUAAGGUCCCAAAGUCAUGGUUAAGUGGGAAACGAUGUGGGAAGGCACAGACAGCCAGGAUGUUGGCUUAGAAGCAGCCAUCAUUUAAAGAAAGCGUAAUAGCUCACUGGUCGAGUCGGCCUGCGCGGAAGAUGUAACGGGGCUAAACCAUGCACCGAAGCUGCGGCAGCGACACUAUGUGUUGUUGGGUAGGGGAGCGUUCUGUAAGCCUGCGAAGGUGGCCUGUGAGGGCUGCUGGAGGUAUCAGAAGUGCGAAUGCUGACAUAAGUAACGAUAAAGCGGGUGAAAAGCCCGCUCGCCGGAAGACCAAGGGUUCCUGUCCAACGUUAAUCGGGGCAGGGUGAGUCGACCCCUAAGGCGAGGCCGAAAGGCGUAGUCGAUGGGAAACAGGUUAAUAUUCCUGUACUUGGUGUUACUGCGAAGGGGGGACGGAGAAGGCUAUGUUAGCCGGGCGACGGUUGUCCCGGUUUAAGCAUGUAGGCGGAGGUUCCAGGUAAAUCCGGUACCUUUUAACGCUGAGGUGUGAUGACGAGGCACUACGGUGCUGAAGUAACAAAUGCCCUGCUUCCAGGAAAAGCCUCUAAGCAUCAGGUAACAUUAAAUCGUACCCCAAACCGACACAGGUGGUCAGGUAGAGAAUACCAAGGCGCUUGAGAGAACUCGGGUGAAGGAACUAGGCAAAAUGGUGCCGUAACUUCGGGAGAAGGCACGCUGGUGUGUAGGUGAAGUCCCUGCGGAUGGAGCUGAGACCAGUCGAAGAUACCAGCUGGCUGCAACUGUUUAUUAAAAACACAGCACUGUGCAAACACGAAAGUGGACGUAUACGGUGUGACGCCUGCCCGGUGCCGGAAGGUUAAUUGAUGGGGUUAUCCGUAAGGAGAAGCUCUUGAUCGAAGCCCCGGUAAACGGCGGCCGUAACUAUAACGGUCCUAAGGUAGCGAAAUUCCUUGUCGGGUAAGUUCCGACCUGCACGAAUGGCGUAAUGAUGGCCAGGCUGUCUCCACCCGAGACUCAGUGAAAUUGAACUCGCUGUGAAGAUGCAGUGUACCCGCGGCAAGACGGAAAGACCCCGUGAACCUUUACUAUAGCUUGACACUGAACAUUGAGCCUUGAUGUGUAGGAUAGGUGGGAGGCUUUGAAGCGUGGACGCCAGUCUGCGUGGAGCCAACCUUGAAAUACCACCCUUUAAUGUUUGAUGUUCUAACGUAGACCCCUAAUCGGGGUUGCGGACAGUGUCUGGUGGGUAGUUUGACUGGGGCGGUCUCCUCCCAAAGAGUAACGGAGGAGCACGAAGGUUAGCUAAUCCUGGUCGGACAUCAGGAGGUUAGUGCAAUGGCAUAAGCUAGCUUGACUGCGAGCGUGACGGCGCGAGCAGGUGCGAAAGCAGGUCAUAGUGAUCCGGUGGUUCUGAAUGGAAGGGCCAUCGCUCAACGGAUAAAAGGUACUCCGGGGAUAACAGGCUGAUACCGCCCAAGAGUUCAUAUCGACGGCGGUGUUUGGCACCUCGAUGUCGGCUCAUCACAUCCUGGGGCUGAAGUAGGUCCCAAGGGUAUGGCUGUUCGCCAUUUAAAGUGGUACGCGAGCUGGGUUUAGAACGUCGUGAGACAGUUCGGUCCCUAUCUGCCGUGGGCGCUGGAGAAUUGAGGGGGGCUGCUCCUAGUACGAGAGGACCGGAGUGGACGCAUCACUGGUGUUCGGGUUGUCAUGCCAAUGGCAUUGCCCGGUAGCUAAAUGCGGAAGAGAUAAGUGCUGAAAGCAUCUAAGCACGAAACUUGCCCCGAGAUGAGUUCUCCCUGAGACU
rnacentral:rRNA from 1 species